rnacentral:rRNA from 1 species
CAUGCAAGUCGAGGGGCAGCGCGGGAUAGCAAUAUCCUGGCGGCGACCGGCGGAAGGGUGCGUAACGCGUGAGCGACAUGCCCGUUGCCCGGGGACAACCGGUGGAAACGCCGACUAAUCCCCGAUGGGAUAUUGUGCCGCAUGGCACGAUAUUGAAAGUUACGGCGGCGACGGAUUGGCUCGCGUCCGAUUAGCUUGUUGGCGGGGUAACGGCCCACCAAGGCUGCGAUCGGUAGGGGUUCUGAGAGGAAGGCCCCCCACAAUGGGACUGAGACACGGCCCAUACUCCUACGGGAGGCAGCAGUGAGGAAUAUUGGUCAAUGGGCGGAAGCCUGAACCAGCCAUGCCGCGUGCGGGAAGGAGGCCCUAUGGGCUGUGAACCGCUUUUGCCUGGGGGCAAUAAGGGCGUCGCGCACGCCCGAUGAGAGUACCAGGCGAAUAAGCAUCGGCUAACUCCGUGCCAGCAGCCGCGGUAAUACGGGGGAUGCGAGCGUUAUCCGGAUUCAUUGGGUUUAAAGGGUGCGUAGGCUGUGCGUCAAGUCGGGGGUGAAAUUCCGGUGCUCAACACCGGGGCUGCCCUUGAUACUGUCGCGCUGGAGUGCGGAUGCCGCCGGAGGAAUGAGUGGUGUAGCGGUGAAAUGCUUAGAUAUCACUCAGAACACCGAUUGCGAAGGCAUCUGGCGAAUCCGUAACUGACGCUGAGGCACGAAAGCGUGGGGAUAGAACAGGAUUAGAUACCCUGGUAUUCCACGCCGUAAACGAUGAUGGCUAACCGCCGGCGACACACUGUCGGUGGCCAAGCGAAAGCGAU